ensembl:lncRNA
AGGAGAAUGAAGACAGGCCCCGAGGAGAAUAAAGACAGGCCCCGAGGAGAAUGAGGGCAGGCCCUGAGGAGAAUGAGGACAGGUCCCGAGGAGAAUAAAGACAGGCCCCGAGGAGAAUGAAGACAGGCCCUGAGGAGAAUGAAGACAGGCCCCGAGGAGAAUGAAGACAAGCCCUGAGGAGAAUGAAGACAGGCCCCGAGGAGAAUGAAGACAGGCCCUGAGGAGAAUGAGGACAGGCCCCGAGGAGAAUAAAGACAGGCCCCGAGGAGAAUGAAGACAGGCCCCGAGGAGAAUGAAGACAGGCCCCGAGGAGAAUGAAGACAGGCCCCGAGGAGAAUGAAGACAGGCCCAGAGGAGAAUAAAGACAGGCCCCGAGGAGAAUAAAGACAGGCCCCGAGGAGAAUGAAGACAGGCCCCGAGGAGAAUAAAGACAGGCCCCGAGGAGAAUAAA